rnacentral:lncRNA from 1 species
AUUUCCUUCUUAAAUUUUAAAUUCUAUCCUUCAUUUUAAAACCUCAUUUGUUUGUGGUUUCAACUUAGACUUGUUUUAAUGAGUAGAAACUUUGUCCUUAUGCCAUUGAUUUUCAAAUAUUUUCUUAAUCAAAAUUGUAAUUAAACUUAAUCAUAUUGACUUUAAUUUCAAAAAGACAAAAAAAAAAUUAACAACCUCAUAUAAUCCUUUUGGCCAUUUUGUGCCUUUUGCUUUUAAACUUUUC